rnacentral:lncRNA from 1 species
AAACUUGAGGAAAAUAAGCCAGCAUUCAAUAUUCAUUCACCUCUGCCGACGCAGCAAAGAUGAGAAAAGAUACACUCUAAACGCCUUAGACCAACCAGCAAAUUUUCAAUGAACCAAGUGCCAAGCCAAUAAUAAAAUGUGCCUCAGAGCUAGACUCAAAAACACGGUCCCAAAACCGGAGCGCCAACAUAACAACCCUGCAAACCCUCUACAAGUUGUC